rnacentral:rRNA from 1 species
CAGGGUAAAGCUGAUCUUCCCUGGGUAAGUCGGGGCCUAAGGCGAGGGCGAGAGCCGUAGUCGAUGGAUAACAGGUUGAAAUUCCUGUACUGCUUAUGGACAGAACUGUGGGGACGCAGAAGGAGAGCACGAGCCGGAAAUGGAAAAGCCGGUACAAGCGUAUAGCAGUCAUGCAGGCAAAACCGCAUGAAAAAUGUAAAGCGUUAUGUGGAUCGAACAUUAGUAGAGAAGCGUGUGAGCCAGCUGCCAAGAAAAGCCGCUAUUGCUUCAUAAGUACCCGUACCGUAAACCGACACAGGUGGAUGAGGAGAGAAUCCUAAGGCCGGCGGGAGAAGUGUUGUUAAGGAACUCGGCAAAAUGACUCCGUAACUUCGGGAGAAGGAGUGCCACAGAGAUGUGGCCGCAGAGAAAUGGCCCAAGCAACUGUUUAGCAAAAACACAGGUCUAUGCAAAACCGAAAGGUGAGGUAUAUGGGCUGACGCCUGCCCGGUGCUGGAAGGUUAAGAGGAGAGGUUAGAGCAAUCGAAGCUUUGAAUUUAAGCCCCAGUAAACGGCGGCCGUAACUAUAACGGUCCUAAGGUAGCGAAAUUCCUUGUCGGGUAAGUUCCGACCCGCACGAAAGGCGUAAUGAUUUGGGCACUGUCUCAACAACACACCCGGUGAAAUUGAAAUACCAGUGAAGAUGCUGGUUACCUGCGCCAGGACGGAAAGACCCCAUGGAGCUUUACUCCAGUUUGAUACUGGGAUUCGGUACUGUCUGUACAGGAUAGGUGGGAGGCUAGGAAAUGGUGACGCCAGUUGCCAUGGAGCCAACCUUGGGAUACCACCCUUACAGUACUGGGUUUCUAACCUGCAGCCGUGACCCGGCUGGGGGACGAUGUCUGACGGGGAGUUUGACUGGGGCGGUCGCCUCCGAAAGAGUAUCGGAGGCGCUCAAAGGUUCCCUCAGAACGGUUGGAAACCGUUCGAAGAGUGCAAAGGCAGAAGGGAGCUUGACUGCGACACCGACGGGUGGAGCAGAUACGAAAGUAGGACUUAGUGAUCCGGUGGUAUAAAGUGGGAUUGCCAUCGCUCAACGGAUAAAAGCUACCCUGGGAUAACAGGCUUAUCACUCCCAAGAGUUCACAUCGACGGAGUGGUUUGGCACCUCGAUGUCGGCUCAUCGCAUCCUGGAGCUGUAGCAGGUUCCAAGGGUUGGGCUGUUCGCCCAUUAAAGCGGUACGCGAGCUGGGUUCAGAACGUCGUGAGACAGUUCGGUCCCUAUCCGGCGUGGGCGUAGGAUAUUUGAGAGGAGCUGUCCUUAGUACGAGAGGACCGGGAUGGACAAACCUCUGGUGUAUCUGUUGUUUUACCAAAGGCAUGGCAGAGUAGCCAAGUUUGGCAGGGAUAAACGCUGAAGGCAUCUAAGCGUGAAGCCCCCCUCAAGAUAAGAUAUCCCAUCUUCGGAGUAAGACCCCUUGAAGACUACAAGGUUGAUAGGCUUCAGGUGUAAGUGUGGUAACGCACUCAGCUGAGAAGUACUAAUAGGUCGAGGACUUAUCAA